CGUGCUUAACUACAUAGCAACGUCGAACCGGGGACGACCCCCGAAAACGGAAGUUUUCGGGUACGAACGUAGCGGGGAAGUGCCGUAGUGGCGGACGGGUGGAGUAACGACGUGAGCACCUGCCUUGGAGUGGGAGUAACAGAUGGAAACAUCUGCUAAUACCGCAUGAUGCAGUUGGGCCACAUGGCUCUGACUGCCAAAGAUUUAUCGCUCUGAGAUGGGCUCGCGUCUGAUUAGCUAGUUGGCGGGGCAACGGCCCACCAAGGCGACGAUCAGUAGCCGGACUGAGAGGUUGGCCGGCCACAUUGGGACUGAGACACGGCCCAGACUCCUUACGGGAGGCAGCAGUGGGGAAUAUUGGGCAAUGGGCGCAAGCCUGACCCAGCAACGCCGCGUGAAGGAAGAAGGCUUUCGGGUUGUAAACUUCUUUUCUCAGGGACGAACAGAUGACGGUACCUGAGGAAUAAGCCACGGCUAACUACGUG
rnacentral:rRNA from 1 species